rnacentral:rRNA from 1 species
CUGAAACAUCUAAGUACCCCGAGGAAAAGAAAUCAACCGAGAUUCCCCCAGUAGCGGCGAGCGAACGGGGAGGAGCCCAGAGCCUGAAUCAGUGUGUGUGUUAGUGGAAGCGUCUGGAAAGGCGCGCGAUACAGGGUGACAGCCCCGUACACAAAAAUGCACAUGCUGUGAGCUCGAUGAGUAGGGCGGGACACGUGGUAUCCUGUCUGAAUAUGGGGGGACCAUCCUCCAAGGCUAAAUACUCCUGACUGACCGAUAGUGAACCAGUACCGUGAGGGAAAGGCGAAAAGAACCCCGGCGAGGGGAGUGAAAAAGAACCUGAAACCGUGUACGUACAAGCAGUGGGAGCACAGAGCAAUCUGUGUGACUGCGUACCUUUUGUAUAAUGGGUCAGCGACUUAUAUUCUGUAGCAAGGUUAACCGAAUAGGGGAGCCGAAGGGAAACCGAGUCUUAACUGGGCGUUAAGUUGCAGGGUAUAGACCCGAAACCCGGUGAUCUAGCCAUGGGCAGGUUGAAGGUUGGGUAACACUAACUGGAGGACCGAACCGACUAAUGUUGAAAAAUUAGCGGAUGACUUGUGGCUGGGGGUGAAAGGCCAAUCAAACCGGGAGAUAGCUGGUUCUCCCCGAAAGCUAUUUAGGUAGCGCCUCGUGAAUUCAUCUCCGGGGGUAGAGCACUGUUUCGGCAAGGGGGUCAUCCCGACUUACCAACCCGAUGCAAACUGCGAAUACCGGAGAAUGUUAUCACGGGAGACACACGGCGGGUGCUAACGUCCGUCGUGAAGAGGGAAACAACCCAGACCGCCAGCUAAGGUCCCAAAGUCAUGGUUAAGUGGGAAACGAUGUGGGAAGGCCCAGACAGCCAGGAUGUUGGCUUAGAAGCAGCCAUCAUUUAAAGAAAGCGUAAUAGCUCACUGGUCGAGUCGGCCUGCGCGGAAGAUGUAACGGGGCUAAACCAUGCACCGAAGCUGCGGCAGCGACACUAUGUGUUGUUGGGUAGGGGAGCGUUCUGUAAGCCUGUGAAGGUGUGCUGUGAGGCAUGCUGGAGGUAUCAGAAGUGCGAAUGCUGACAUAAGUAACGAUAAAGCGGGUGAAAAGCCCGCUCGCCGGAAGACCAAGGGUUCCUGUCCAACGUUAAUCGGGGCAGGGUGAGUCGACCCCUAAGGCGAGGCCGAAAGGCGUAGUCGAUGGGAAACAGGUUAAUAUUCCUGUACUUGGUGUUACUGCGAAGGGGGGACGGAGAAGGCUAUGUUGGCCGGGCGACGGUUGUCCCGGUUUAAGCGUGUAGGCUGGUUUUCCAGGCAAAUCCGGAAAAUCAAGGCUGAGGCGUGAUGACGAGGCACUACGGUGCUGAAGCAACAAAUGCCCUGCUUCCAGGAAAAGCCUCUAAGCAUCAGGUAACAUCAAAUCGUACCCCAAACCGACACAGGUGGUCAGGUAGAGAAUACCAAGGCGCUUGAGAGAACUCGGGUGAAGGAACUAGGCAAAAUGGUGCCGUAACUUCGGGAGAAGGCACGCUGAUAUGUAGGUGAAGCGACUUGCUCGUGGAGCUGAAAUCAGUCGAAGAUACCAGCUGGCUGCAACUGUUUAUUAAAAACACAGCACUGUGCAAACACGAAAGUGGACGUAUACGGUGUGACGCCUGCCCGGUGCCGGAAGGUUAAUUGAUGGGGUCAGCGCAAGCGAAGCUCUUGAUCGAAGCCCCGGUAAACGGCGGCCGUAACUAUAACGGUCCUAAGGUAGCGAAAUUCCUUGUCGGGUAAGUUCCGACCUGCACGAAUGGCGUAAUGAUGGCCAGGCUGUCUCCACCCGAGACUCAGUGAAAUUGAACUCGCUGUGAAGAUGCAGUGUACCCGCGGCAAGACGGAAAGACCCCGUGAACCUUUACUAUAGCUUGACACUGAACAUUGAGCCUUGAUGUGUAGGAUAGGUGGGAGGCUUUGAAGUGUGGACGCCAGUCUGCAUGGAGCCGACCUUGAAAUACCACCCUUUAAUGUUUGAUGUUCUAACGUUGACCCGUAAUCCGGGUUGCGGACAGUGUCUGGUGGGUAGUUUGACUGGGGCGGUCUCCUCCUAAAGAGUAACGGAGGAGCACGAAGGUUGGCUAAUCCUGGUCGGACAUCAGGAGGUUAGUGCAAUGGCAUAAGCCAGCUUGACUGCGAGCGUGACGGCGCGAGCAGGUGCGAAAGCAGGUCAUAGUGAUCCGGUGGUUCUGAAUGGAAGGGCCAUCGCUCAACGGAUAAAAGGUACUCCGGGGAUAACAGGCUGAUACCGCCCAAGAGUUCAUAUCGACGGCGGUGUUUGGCACCUCGAUGUCGGCUCAUCACAUCCUGGGGCUGAAGUAGGUCCCAAGGGUAUGGCUGUUCGCCAUUUAAAGUGGUACGCGAGCUGGGUUUAGAACGUCGUGAGACAGUUCGGUCCCUAUCUGCCGUGGGCGCUGGAGAACUGAGGGGGGCUGCUCCUAGUACGAGAGGACCGGAGUGGACGCAUCACUGGUGUUCGGGUUGUCAUGCCAAUGGCACUGCCCGGUAGCUAAAUGCGGAAGAGAUAAGUGCUGAAAGCAUCUAAGCACGAAACUUGCCCCGAGAUGAGUUCUCCCUGACUCCUUGAGAGUCCUGAAGGAACGUUGAAGACGACGACGUUGAUAGGCCGGGUGUGUAAGCGCAGCGAUGCGUUGAGCUAACCGGUACUAAUGAACCGUGAGG